GGUGAGCUACCCCGAGACAGCCUAUGUUAAUUUAGGGCUAACCCGUCUCUGUGGCAAAAGAGUGGGAAGAGCUCCGGGUAGAAGUGAAAGACCUACCGAACCUGGUGAUAGCUGGUUGACUGAGAGAUGGAUAGAAGUUCAGCCUCGCACACCCCAAACCAAAAAAUAUUAUUAUCAAGAUAUUUAGGGAUACGUACGAGAGUUAGUUAAAAGGGGUACAGCCCUUUUAACAAAGGAUACAACCUUUACAGGAGGAUAAAGAUCAUAAUGUAUAAGAUAUACUGUUCUAGUGGGCCUGAAAGCAGCCACCUAUACAGAAAGCGUUAAAGCUCGGACAGAAAGAAAUUUAUUAUUUAGAUAAAAAAUCUUAUUCCCCUAACUAUAUCAGACCAACCCAUGCCUACAUGGAAGAGAUUAUGCUAAAAUGAGUAAUAAGAAGACCCGCUCUUCUCCCAGCACAAGUGUAAGCCAGAUCGGACUAGCCACUGGAAUUUAACGAACCCAACCCAAGAGGGUAAUGUGAUCAACAAAAAACUCAAGAAGACCUCACAUUAAACAAUCGUUAACCCCACACUGGAGUGCUAUUUUAAGGGAAAGACUAAAAGAAGGGGAAGGAACUCGGCAAACACAAGCCUCGCCUGUUUACCAAAAACAUCGCCUCCUGCAACUGAACUGAGUAUAGGAGGUCCAGCCUGCCCAGUGACUACGGGUUCAACGGCCGCGGUAUCUUGACCGUGCAAAGGUAGCGCAAUCACUUGUCUCUUAAAUAGAGACCUGUAUGAAUGGCUAGACGAGGGCUUAACUGUCUCCCCCCUCCAGUCAGUGAAAUUGAUCUAUCCGUGCAGAAGCGGGUAUAAAUAUACAAGACGAGAAGACCCUUUGGAGCUUAAGGUACAAAUUCAACCACGUUAAACAACUCUAUAAGAAGCAAGAACUUAGUGAUACUGAAAUUUUACCUUCGGUUGGGGCGACCGCGGAGGAAAAACAAGCCUCCGAGUGGACUGGGCCAAACCCCUGAAGCUAAUAGAGACAUCUAUAGGACACAGAAUAUCUGACCAAAAAUGAUCCGGCUAAAAAGCCGAUCAACGAACCAAGUUACCCAAGGGAUAACAGCGCAAUCCCCUCCCAGAGCCCAUAUCUACGAGGGGGUUUACGACCUCGAUGUUGGAUCAGGACAUCCUAAUGGUGC
rnacentral:rRNA from 1 species